rnacentral:rRNA from 1 species
UUUGAGCGGGGGACAACAUUUGGAAACGAAUGCUAAUACCGCAUAACAACUUUAAACACAAGUUUUAAGUUUGAAAGAUGCAAUUGCAUCACUCAAAGAUGAUCCCGCGUUGUAUUAGCUAGUUGGUGAGGUAAAGGCUCACCAAGGCGAUGAUACAUAGCCGACCUGAGAGGGUGAUCGGCCACAUUGGGACUGAGACACGGCCCAAACUCCUACGGGAGGCAGCAGUAGGGAAUCUUCGGCAAUGGACGAAAGUCUGACCGAGCAACGCCGCGUGAGUGAAGAAGGUUUUCGGAUCGUAAAACUCUGUUGGUAGAGAAGAACGUUGGUGAGAGUGGAAAGCUCAUCAAGUGACGGUAACUACCCAGAAAGGGACGGCUAACUACGUGCCAGCAGCCGCGGUAAUACGUAGGUCCCGAGCGUUGUCCGGAUUUAUUGGGCGUAAAGCGAGCGCAGGUGGUUUAUUAAGUCUGGUGUAAAAGGCAGUGGCUCAACCAUUGUAUGCAUUGGAAACUGGUAGACUUGAGUGCAGGAGAGGAGAGUGGAAUUCCAUGUGUAGCGGUGAAAUGCGUAGAUAUAUGGAGGAACACCGGUGGCGAAAGCGGCUCUCUGGCCUGUAACUGACACUGAGGCUCGAAAGCGUGGGGAGCAAACAGGAUUAGAUACCCUGGUAGUCCACGCCGUAAACGAUGAGUGCUAGAUGUAGGGAGCUAUAAGUUCUCUGUAUCGCAGCUA